rnacentral:lncRNA from 1 species
UCCACCAUAAAUUUCUUACUGCAUAGAGAGAUUGUACACCGUAAAUCCCAGAACAGUGCAUUUUCAGGACAAUAAUAUCCGCUCUAUCAGACAAAGAUAGGGAAGAAGAAAGUUGCACCAAUUCAUGCCACAAACCGUCAUCAACUGAUAACCAAAAUCUCCUCACAGUCAGUUUGAGUUGCACCCAACUCGGACGAAAGGACUCAAGUUUUUGGCACAAGCAGAAAUGGAACAAAAGCGCAUCCACCUAACCAGAUCGUUCAACACAACCAGCAACAAAUUAGGCUCAAGUUCACUUCAAAUUCUUCCUGGGCUGAAAAAGUCAAACCAAGGUCCAGACGCCAUUUGGUAAUAUCCUUCAAGCACCAACAACUGCGCGUGAAGCUUCAUCAGAGGCCGGCCAACCGCCCUAUUGCUGCAUCAUAAGAGACAAAAGAUUCAUCACAUUAUAUGAUAAGUAGGAGAGGAGCACACUUUGCCCCUUAGAAUCAUUUCAUUUCUACUUGUCCAAAUCAACCAAGCAAUAGCAGGAAGAAUCCACAUCACAACACGAUUCAAACUGGAUCUGUUUGAGGUUCUUUUGUUUGUAUGAAAAAGAGUUUUCUCUCCGAUUUCUAUUGACAGAAGCUAAGGUUCAGCUACAACCAUCCAAAAUAAAACUGAAGAUGGACCUGUUGGAGGAACACAAUAACGAAAUUGUCUCUUUCAUUUGGGCAGGCUCACGGGCAAGUGCCUAGUGCAGACCUGGGAUUAAGUUAUUCUAUCAAAAAUACCACAAGGAGGAGGGGUUUUUGCCUAAUCAGUGAAAUAUAUAUACUAGAGCAGAUAACGAUGCAUAAGUCACCAACUAUACACUCGCCAUGGAAUCCUUUGGUCAGCUGCCUAGUUAUUCUGCCUAACAGCAAUACCACACAGCUACUGUAUCUUUUUCUCUAAUCUGUAUCAACACAAAUUCAUGGUUGCCUACAAUCACCAAGGUCGGCAGCACUCCACAACACCUGAAUAGUAUAACAGCACAAAGGAUGGGUUCCCACAUCUCUACAAAUCACCCAGAAACCGGAAAAACUAGCAGACCCACAUACAGAAUCUAUCUAGUUAUGCAGAAAAAACAGAAAGAAAGAAGAAAAACUGUACAUACUCAUCGACAUUCAGGAAUCACAUACCACAUCGGGAACUCUCUAACUAAAAUUAUCCAACAAUCUAAGCUACAAAAGCAUCAAGCACUAUAAUAGUAGCCAAUGAUGUGAUUAGUGUUCAUGACCAAAUGUACAUGUUCGAAAAGGGCUUUGGUACACCUACGUAAUUAAUCUACUUAAAGCUACGUGAAAACUGGUUUAGAUUGAUUUGAGGCCCCACCCCAUGAAAAGUCCGGGGGGGGGGGGGGGGGAGAAGUUGAUUAUAGGUGUAGGAUUAUUGGUUCGAAAAACAGCACAAGGCUAGUAGGUACCUCUAGUACAGAAGCUCUUGUAGGCCGGCCAAGUGCGUGUGAGAGACCAGCCAACCGCCCUAUUGCUGCAUCAUAAGAGACAGAAGAUUCAUCAGAUUAUAUGACAAGGAGAGGAGCACACUUUGCCCCUUAGAAUCAUUUCAUUUCUACUUGUCCAAAUCGACCAAGCAAUAGCAGGUAGCAUCCACAUCACAACACGAUUCAAUCUGGAUCUGUUUGAGGUUCUUUUAUUUGUAUGAAAGAGAGUUUCCUCUCCG